rnacentral:rRNA from 1 species
UACGUAGGGUGCAAGCGUUGUCCGGAAUUAUUGGGCGUAAAGGGCUCGUAGGCGGUUUGUCGCGUCGGGAGUGAAAUCCACUGGCUUAACUGGUGGCUUGCUUUCGAUACGGGCAGACUGGAGGUAUGCAGGGGAGAACGGAAUUCCUGGUGUAGCGGUGAAAUGCGCAGAUAUCAGGAGGAACACCGGUGGCGAAGGCGGAUCUCUGGGCCAUUACUGACGCUGGAGGAGCGAAAGCGUGGGGAGCGAACAGG